rnacentral:lncRNA from 1 species
UAUGAAUCAUGGAGAAUAAUCCAACCGAAGUAAAGAGGCCAAAAAUCAUCGUCCGACUGGUUGAUGCUUCUGGAUACAAAUAGGUGAGGCGGUGAUUAUCUAGAUUGCAUAAACAAAUGGAAAGCUUUAGUAGGGAUGGACUAAAAUUGAAAUCCCCAAAAUAAAAUCCUUACCUACCUAAGUCUGAAAUCAGCAAACAAAACCCAAGAAUAGAAACAAACAAAUCGCAUAAAUCAAAACUACAGAAUGAAAACAUAGGAAUUCAGAAACUAACACAACUCUUUCUUUAUACUCUCUAGCUUUCAAGAAUCGUCCAUCUUCGAUAUCUCCUCUGUUUCGAACUGGGUCACAGAGGAAGCCGAGAGAGCAGGUUGGUUGGAGGGCUUCUACGGUGAGGAUUGGUGGGUGCAAUGAAAUUUGUGAACAACUAAUUGGGAGGUCGAGAAGGCAGAAGUAUAUGAAGCAUGAAAAAUGAAUAGUGAUUAAAAUAGGAAAAGGGGGUACCGGCACCUGAGAUGUUUUUUAAAACCAGAAUCGAGCCCUAAUCUGACACGAACUGAAGCAGACGUAGCGAUGGCGGUGUUCAAUCGCUUCUUACAAACUCUCGGAACAACAGAGGGUGGUAGCGGAGCCGAUCGAUGUUUUUCAGGAACAUCAACAUGCUGAAGAGGUUGGAGGUGGCAGAAUCGAGCCCUAAUCUGACAUGAACUGAAGCAGACGUGGCGAUGGCAGUGCUCAAUCGCUUCUUACAAAGUCUCGGAACGACAGAUGGUGGUAACGGCGUCGAUCGAUGCUUUUUAGGAACAUCGAAAUGCUCAAGAAGUUGGAGGUGGCUCAUCCCACCAAAGGUUAGUGGAGUUUAGAUCGUGUGUGGUUGAUGGCAAGAAAGGUACGAAGAUAAAAAAAAAAUAUAUAUGAGAAGAAUCCAG